rnacentral:lncRNA from 1 species
AUAGAGUUUCCGGGAAAACUCUUAGGUUGAGUCUACCUUUAAAGAUUUCAGAGGUUUUUAAGAGUUCCUUGAUACUCUAAGGUACUAACUUACCCGUAAAAGUUAGAGGUUCUUAAAAGUGCCCUUGAUACUCUAAGGUGUGAGUCUACCCGUAAAAGACUGGUUCCUAAGCGAAGUAGCCUUAAAGCUUAGAGAGGUUUUUAAGAGUUCCUUGAUACUCUAAGGUACUAACUUACCCGUAAAAGUUAGAGGUUCUUAAGAGUGCCCUUGAUACUCUAAGGUGUGAGUCUACCCGUAAAAGACUGGUUCCUAAGCGAGGUAGCCUUAAAGCUUAGAAAGGUUUUGCCAUUACCUUUAGGCGAGUGAAUUCCGGCUGUUGUCGGGACUGGACUAGCCCUUGUUUGGGUGAACCAGUAUAAAUCUCUUGUGUUGUUCUCUGUUAAUUAUAGUUCUAUCUUUUACUUAAAAAACAACACUUAAUUAAAAAGAUCCCUCUUCCAGUUAUCUGGUCAAACACAGAGGUUGACUACUUUACGCAGAUCCCUCAUCCAGUUAUCUGGUCAACUAUCUGAGGUUAUAUUCAUUGCUCUAAAUCCUUAUAUUUGUUCAAGUAUUACUUAUCAU